rnacentral:rRNA from 1 species
GAUGAACGCUGGCGGCGUGCUUAACACAUGCAAGUCGAACGAAGCACUUGAAACAGAUUCUUCGGAUGAAGUUUCCAGUGACUGAGUGGCGGACGGGUGAGUAACGCGUGGGUAACCUGCCUCAUACAGGGGGAUAACAGUUAGAAAUGGCUGCUAAUACCGCAUAAGCGCACAGCAUCGCAUGAUGCAGUGUGAAAAACUCCGGUGGUAUGAGAUGGACCCGCGUUGGAUUAGCUAGUUGGCAGGGUAACGGCCUACCAAGGCGACGAUCCAUAGCCGGCCUGAGAGGGUGGGCGGCCACAUUGGGACUGAGACACGGCCCAGACUCCUACGGGAGGCAGCAGUGGGGAAUAUUGCACAAUGGGGGAAACCCUGAUGCAGCGACGCCGCGUGAGCGAAGAAGUAUUUCGGUAUGUAAAGCUCUAUCAGCAGGGAAGAAAAUG